rnacentral:lncRNA from 1 species
UUCUGAAUAUUAAGUGGUUUCUCUCAAGAGCAAGGUUUUUAAGAGUUUGUUGUCAGGCAAGUNAAAGGACCCUGGACACUCCAUACAUUCUGGAAGAUGUCCUACUGGUUCAUUUUAGAAGAUUAGUUGAGCCCUGAGUGGAAAGUUUGUUGGAGGCCUUGAUACUGGUUCAGUUUUGCUGCAAAAUGCUGCAGAUUUGCAUUUCAAAUUUGCAAAUGCAGAUCCCCUCUGGGCAUCCUGUAGUCCUAGAAGUUCUCCACUUCUGUUGCCCUGUGUGGGUUAUAUUUGGAAGUAAGUGGUGGAAGAAAUGAUGGACUAUGUGGAGGAUGUUGCCAAUAGAUGUGAAUGUGAGUUGACAGAAUGAUAGAAACUAAGAAAAAAAGAAAUCUCAAAAUCUGAAUAAAUUAAUAGCUCCUAAAUAUCA